rnacentral:lncRNA from 1 species
UGGCAUCUGAAAGCACAUUCACCACAAGAAGCAGCCUAAGGCUGCUGUCUGGCUUUUAAGAACUUUACACACAGCCCUAGAAACAAGAGUAAGAGGGAAAUAAUGCCGUCAUCGGAUACAUCAAUUACGGCCCUAGAGGUAGCAUUGUCUCCUUUUGAAAAAAAAAAAAAAAAAAAAAAAAAAAAAAAAAAAAACCUAAAAUAUUACAGUGUAAAGAUACAUGUCUGCUCUAUUCAAUGUACUAAGUGGAUUACGCAGGGGCAUUGGAAAAUCACAUUGUGAGCCUUUAUCUCUGGUACUAUUAUCCAGAAAAUUGUUACAUGAUAGAAGGCAAGAGCACAUGAUUUGGAGGAUGAAGGCCUGGGUCUUAUCUCAACUUUGCCGCCAAUUAGCCAAUUAAGUUGAGUAAGCUUGACUCUACACUUGGACAUCCAUUUCUCCGUCUGUAAUAUGUGACAGUUGGACCAUAUGCUUGUAAGCUGAAUGAUGCUCUCAGAAAACUACAGUUACAAGAACUUGGGGAGAUGGCUGUAUUAGACACACACCCACACAGAGAGAGACAUUCUUCUUGGACAUCUACAAUAAAUAUUGCCAUGUCAGAUGCAUUAUAAUGGGCCAGUGAGAUGGCUAGCCAGGUAAAGGUGCUUGCUGGCAAACACGAAGAUCUGAGUUUUAGCCUUAUGAUUUACGUGGGUAAAGGAGAAAACUAACAUUUGUGUGUUGUUUUCCAACCUGCACAGACACCCACAUGGGCACACAUAAAUAAAUAAAUAAAUAAAUAAACUGAAAAUAAGUAAAUAAAUAAAUGCAAGUUUUAUAAUCUUGAGAUAGUCUAAUAACAUCUUACAGAUGGUCGAACCUUUCAGACAUAGUGCUUAUAAGGAGAUGAAGGACUAGAGGGUUGGGUUUUUAAGGCUACAGGUUGGUCUAGUUCUCAGCCAAAUAUUCUGCUUUCUGUUGCUAUUCACAGGAACAAGCUAAUGACCUACCUUCCUUGCCAAGAAGCACUAUUCAGUCUGAAGUCUGAAGUCUAAGCCCAGAAAACCCAUCUCCUUUAAGUUGCUUCUGUCUUGUAUUCUGCCCCAUC